rnacentral:rRNA from 1 species
UACAGAGGGGCAAGCGUUGUCCGGACUUACUGGGCGUACAGCGCGCGCAGGCGGAGACGGACGUGCCGUGUGACAGCUCACCGCUCACCGGGUGAAAGGCCACGGGUACACGGACGGCUCUGGAGGCAGGGAGAGGGAUGUGGAAUGCCCGGUGGAGCGGUGAAAUGCGUAGAGAGUCGGGACGGAACACCAGCGGCGAAGGCGGCAUCCCUGGCCCUGACCGGACGCUGGAGGCGCGAGAGCCGUGGGGAGCGAACUGG